rnacentral:pre_miRNA from 1 species
UUUUUAGUAUAAAUGUGUCUUAUGCAAUAUUGGGACAUACUUAUGCUAAAA